CCUUACCUACCUUGACAUGUCCGGAAUCCGAAGAGAUUUGGGAGUGCUCGCAAGAGAGCCGUAACACAGGUGCUGCAUGGCUGUCGUCAGCUCGUGUCGUGAGAUGUUGGGUUAAGUCCCGCAACGAGCGCAACCCUUGUCAUUAGUUGCUACAUUCAGUUGGGCACUCUAAUGAGACUGCCGGUGACAAACCGGAGGAAGGUGGGGAUGACGUCAAGUCCUCAUGGCCCUUAUAGGUGGGGCUACACACGUCAUACAAUGGAUGGUACAAAGGGUCGCCAACCCGCGAGGGGGAGCCAAUCCCAUAAAGCCAUUCGUAGUCCGGAUCGCAGUCUGCAACUCGACUGCGUGAAGUCGGAAUCGCUAGUAAUCGUGGAUCAGAAUGUCACGGUGGAUACGUUCCCGGGUCUU
rnacentral:rRNA from 1 species